rnacentral:rRNA from 1 species
GUUGAACGCUGGCGGCAUGCCUUACACAUGCAAGUCGAACGGCAGCGGACCUUCGGGUGCCGGCGAGUGGCGAACGGGUGAGUAAUAUAUCGGAACGUACCUUUCAGUGGGGGAUAACGUAGCGAAAGUUACGCUAAUACCGCAUAUUCUGUGAGCAGGAAAGCAGGGGAUCGCAAGACCUUGCGCUGAUUGAGCGGCCGAUAUCAGAUUAGCUAGUUGGUGAGGUAAAGGCUCACCAAGGCGACGAUCUGUAGCGGGUCUGAGAGGAUGAUCCGCCACACUGGAACUGAGACACGGUCCAGACUCCUACGGGAGGCAGCAGUGGGGAAUUUUGGACAAUGGGCGCAAGCCUGAUCCAGCCAUGCCGCGUGAGUGAAGAA